rnacentral:lncRNA from 1 species
ACUCGACUCAGUACACACAAAACGAAACCGAUAUAACUCGAACUGACUCACUGAAACAGGGCUGUGACUCGGCAAAGAACACUCGGAACUCGACAUAAACACAAACCCAGUUGCAGAACUCGACGCACUACUCAGAAAACGACUCAACAAAACAGCAACUCAGUCAAACUCGGGACAAAACAACUACAGACUCAGCUACGCACAGGCAACUCGGAAAACACGAACAAACAAAACUCGGUAAUAUUCCAACUAAGUAAACAACGAAAACGUGAUUUGGUGAUGGUUGGUUUUGAUUUUAAAACUAAAAAUAGCAUAC